rnacentral:rRNA from 1 species
AUGGCUCAGGAUGAACGCCGGCGGUGUGCCUAAUACAUGCAAGUCGUACGCACUGGCCCAACUGAUUGAUGGUGCUUGCACCUGAUUGACGAUGGAUCACCAGUGAGUGGCGGACGGGUGAGUAACACGUAGGUAACCUGCCCCGGAGCGGGGGAUAACAUUUGGAAACAGAUGCUAAUACCGCAUAACAACAAAAGCCACAUGGCUUUUGUUUGAAAGAUGGCUUUGGCUAUCACUCUGGGAUGGACCUGCGGUGCAUUAGCUAGUUGGUAAGGUAACGGCUUACCAAGGCGAUGAUGCAUAGCCGAGUUGAGAGACUGAUCGGCCACAAUGGAACUGAGACACGGUCCAUACUCCUACGGGAGGCAGCAGUAGGGAAUCUUCCACAAUGGGCGCAAGCCUGAUGGAGCAACACCGCGUGAGUGAAGAAGGGUUUCGGCUCGUAAAGCUCUGUUGUUGGAGAAGAACGUGCGUGAGAGUAACUGUUCACGCAGUGACGGUAUCCAACCAGAAAGUCACGGCUAACUACGUGCCAGCAGCCGCGGUAAUACGUAGGUGGCAAGCGUUAUCCGGAUUUAUUGGGCGUAAAGCGAGCGCAGGCGGUUGCUUAGGUCUGAUGUGAAAGCCUUCGGCUUAACCGAAGAAGUGCAUCGGAAACCGGGCGACUUGAGUGCAGAAGAGGACAGUGGAACUCCAUGUGUAGCGGUGGAAUGCGUAGAUAUAUGGAAGAACACCAGUGGCGAAGGCGGCUGUCUGGUCUGCAACUGACGCUGAGGCUCGAAAGCAUGGGUAGCGAACAGGAUUAGAUACCCUGGUAGUCCAUGCCGUAAACGAUGAGUGCUAGGUGUUGGAGGGUUUCCGCCCUUCAGUGCCGGAGCUAACGCAUUAAGCACUCCGCCUGGGGAGUACGACCGCAAGGUUGAAACUCAAAGGAAUUGACGGGGGCCCGCACAAGCGGUGGAGCAUGUGGUUUAAUUCGAAGCUACGCGAAGAACCUUACCAGGUCUUGACAUCUUGCGCUAACCUUAGAGAUAAGGCGUUCCCUUCGGGGACGCAAUGACAGGUGGUGCAUGGUCGUCGUCAGCUCGUGUCGUGAGAUGUUGGGUUAAGUCCCGCAACGAGCGCAACCCUUGUUACUAGUUGCCAGCAUUAAGUUGGGCACUCUAGUGAGACUGCCGGUGACAAACCGGAGGAAGGUGGGGACGACGUCAGAUCAUCAUGCCCCUUAUGACCUGGGCUACACACGUGCUACAAUGGACGGUACAACGAGUCGCAAGCUCGCGAGAGUAAGCUAAUCUCUUAAAGCCGUUCUCAGUUCGGACUGUAGGCUGCAACUCGCCUACACGAAGUCGGAAUCGCUAGUAAUCGCGGAUCAGCAUGCCGCGGUGAAUACGUUCCCGGGCCUUGUACACACCGCCCGUCACACCAUGGGAGUUUGUAACGCCCAAAGUCGGUGGCCUAACCUUUAUGG